CCCCCCCCCGCAGCAUCCAUACUUCCUCCCUCCCCGAGUUCACCGGCUUCAGGCCCUGGUUCCUAUCAGCCCUACGAGCUGUUGCGCCUGUAGCUCGACCAGCGCACCUGCGAGCUGCUGCGCUAGGGCCUUGACCAACUACGGUACCGUGCUAUCCGUAGAGAGGUUCAAGCCCCACGCACGCGGUUUCGGCGUCUCGCCCCGGCAUCAGAUCCAGGGAUGGGGCUCAUCUCCAGGGAAGCAGCGCAAUGCCGAAGAGCAGGAAAUAAUCUCCAGGGAUCGGAGGGACCGCCGGGACUAUGAACAGAUCGCCAACCUCGCUAAGAGGAUGGGCCUCUACAGUGAACUGUAUGGGAGGGUUAUUGUUGUGAGGAAGGCCCCACUGCCGAACUACAGGCCAGACCUAAACGAAAAGUGUCCACAGAGAAAGGUGGUGAUCCCGCUAAGCUUGCAGAGGAGGGUUAAAGGACUUGUACAGGAGCACCUUGACUGUGCGCUCUUGCCAUUUUGAUAAAGAUGGCGGCAAGACAGAAAGUGGUUCCGAGAAAACUGAGCCUGCGAACUUGAAUGAGAGGAAGGACCCUCUGCUCGACGAGUCGGUCAUGGAGAAGGUCCUUCGGAGGAAGAGUAUUCGGAUGCGCAAUUUUCAACGAACUUGGCCGUUGAUGAUUCAUGGACUUAUUGGAUGAAGCUUUUACCUGCUUGUAAUAACACGAAUCCCCUGAAGGUGGUAAGAUGGUAGAAUUUUGGAAAUCCCUCCUAGCAUAGGAUAAGGAAAGGCUUCUAGCUAGCAGUCAUUGCACGUAAUCAGAUUAGUGAUCUUGUGAAUGAAAGCAAUGUAAAGAUGAACAGACUUAGGCAUCAGACAGAUAACUUAAAGUAAAGAUGAACAUACGAGAAGGCCACUUGCAGGUUGGGAUAAGUGCAUGGAGUCAAAUUUUCUUUCUGUCGAAGUAUAGCGGAUAAACAGGUUAAAUCCCUACUCAAGUCCAAGGCUAGCGGAUAAACAGGUUGAAUCCCUACUCAAGUCCAAGGCUAGCGGAGAAACAUGUUGAAUCCCUACUCAAGUCCAAGGCUAGCGGAUAAACAGGAUAAUAUCUAUUUAUUGGAUUAGUUAUUGAUCGACUACAUCACUAUAUCAAGGAAUUAAGGACGAUGAAGAAAACAUGGAGGUUUAAGAUAUACGUGGGUGCAUCCCUUCUUACCUGGAACAACCAUAUGCGCGAAUGAGUACAAAAUGAUGCAUAGCCCUUCCAAAGAAGAUAACUAUGGUAAGAAGAUAGAUCGUGAUGUGAGAGGAUGAGAGCUCAUGAUCUGAUAAUGUUUUAACAAAACAAAUAAAAUGAGGUUUGGUCGUGACUCGAAGAUCUAGGAGCACAUAAGCACCAAGACUGAUGUAUACAUAGCCAUGCUGUGAAGUACUUCCUCAAUGUCUAGAAGCUCGGCCUUGCCAUAGGGCUGCCGCCUACUGGUAGCUCAUUAUUUUAGCCACUACUCCGCCGCCCCAUCAGUGCUCCUCCUCUCUGGGGUCAGGCCAUGUAUGACAAGGGAAGAAAUUGCUCCUUCCACUGUGUCAGGUUCAGUCAACACCACCAUCUUGGCCACUGGUUGUAAGGAGUGCAUGUAUUGCUUCUUUAUAUCGUAGUGUCUGUCACUUUUAAACUUGUUAAGUACAACACUAUUGUUGGUAGAGUUCAGGCUUGAUGCUGAAUAUUUGUUGUAUUAAUACUUUUAUGGUGAAUCGAGAAAAACAUCAGUCCAUAUUGCGUUGAUGCAGCAGAUAUUCUCAAAAAAGAAAA